rnacentral:lncRNA from 1 species
UGCCCUAGAGCUAGUGGAAGACCUAAGAUGGCGGCGUUUGCGCGGGGUGUAACCACUGCGUCCUUACGGGGGUUGCAAGGCGUCCGAAGUAUGAGUCCACUAACAAAAGUCCAGAAACUCGCCAGUUAAUAGUAUUGUGGUGAGUGAUGAGCCUCACGUUGGCUAGAGAAGUGGCCGUUAGCGAGGCUACACACUUUGGGAUCGCGUGGCCUGAGUCGGGGGAGUAACCGGCCUGUAUUCCAUUUUUCUCUCUCCAGUCUCUUCAAAAUAUCGGAAAAUAAUUUCUUUCUCGCUGAUCGCCUAACUUCUACUGACGAGGCUAGGAAGUUGCAGAAGGUUGGAGUGCAAUGGUGUGAUGUUGGCUCACUGCAACCUCCGCCUCCUGGAUUCAAGCUGUUCCCCUGCCUCAGCCUGCUGAGUAGCUGGGAUUACAGGCAUGUGCCACCGCACCCAGCUAAUUUUGUAUUUUUUAGUAGAGAUGGGGUUUCUCCAUGUUGGUCAGGCUGGUCUUGAACUCCUGACCUCAGGUGAUCCGCCCACCUUG